rnacentral:rRNA from 1 species
GGCAGNCUANACAUGCAAGUCGAGCGGAAACGAGUUAACUGAACCUUCGGGGAACGUUAACGGCGUCGAGCGGCGGACGGGUGAGUAAUGCCUGGGAAAUUGCCCUGAUGUGGGGGAUAACCAUUGGAAACGAUGGCUAAUACCGCAUGAUAGCUUCGGCUCAAAGAGGGGGACCUUCGGGCCUCUCGCGUCAGGAUAUGCCCAGGUGGGAUUAGCUAGUUGGUGAGGUAAUGGCUCACCAAGGCGACGAUCCCUAGCUGGUCUGAGAGGAUGAUCAGCCACACUGGAACUGAGACACGGUCCAGACUCCUACGGGAGGCAGCAGUGGGGAAUAUUGCACAAUGGGCGCAAGCCUGAUGCAGCCAUGCCGCGUGUAUGAAGAAGGCCUUCGGGUUGUAAAGUACUUUCAGCAGUGAGGAAGGUGGGUAUGUUAAUAGCAUACACAUUUGACGUUAGCUGCAGAAGAAGCACCGGCUAACUCCGUGCCAGCAGCCGCGGUAAUACGGAGGGUGCGAGCGUUAAUCGGAAUUACUGGGCGUAAAGCGCAUGCAGGUGGUUUGUUAAGUCAGAUGUGAAAGCCCGGGGCUCAACCUCGGAAUUGCAUUUGAAACUGGCAAACUAGAGUACUGUAGAGGGGGGUAGAAUUUCNUGNGUAGCGGUGAAAU